CGGGAUGUAUCAAGUUCGCAGUCACGUCCGGUCAGAAGGGGGACGUUAAAUCCGAUGCCUCGUGUAAAGAGAGUGCCACGCUCUUUGCACGUUAAGAACCCUUGCAACAACUCUUUGAGGGGUCCGUAGGUGGCCUGUUGCAAGGCAAAAUUUCUGUCCCUAUCCAAUAUACCCUCAUUUUCCAGUGGCAGUCCAAAUUUCCCCGACCAUCAUCCCAGAUGGCCUCUAUUGUAUCAACCUACCUAUUGUGAUUAUUGUGAACUUGUUCUCGUCCUGAAUAUGCAUGAAAUAUUUGCCACUGGACGUUAGGCAACCAACAAUCAAUCAAUCAU
rnacentral:lncRNA from 1 species